GUCUCUGGGGAGGAAUAAAUGCCCCUGAGGAGGUGUUUGCUUUAGGGAGACAGCUCGGGAGCUGUACAGGGUCCACACAGCAGUGGAUUCGAGAGGGGUAUCUGCACUCGCUGUUCCUUUUUCCUAUGCAUAUACCGCUUUGAGAUCUAGCUUUAAAGAGGCAUAGGGCAUGGGAAAAUGGGGCUGCAGAGGUAUUUCACCGACCAAACUACCCCUGGUUGUUCAACUACCACAGCCCUGAGUUCUCCCUGUUUCCCCAUUUUGGACCUGAUCUAGAGGACUCCAGAAUAAAAAAGACCGCAACAAGACCACACCCUGAAGUCAGUGGAGAGACCAUACCUCGUAAGGAGAGACUGGUUUUUACAAUGUCCUGAAACAUUCUGUUGUCAUCGGAUGGCUCCUUUAUUUAUGAUGAUAAUGCUGUAGUACAUUUCGUAGCUGACCAAGCUGUUGCUGUAUUGCUGACUUUUCUACAUUGAUUAAUGUUUUGCAGUGUUUGUUGUCCACCUAGUGGGUGGAAUUGUCUGCCUGUUGUUGUUCAGUAACAAAGACCUGAGCCCUAGGACCAUGCCUCAGGACUACUUGGCCUGAUGACUCCUUGCUGUCCCCAGUCCACCUGGUCAUGCUGCUGCUGCUCCAGUUUCAACUGAGACUGUGGAACCCUGACCUGUUCACUGGAUGUGCUACCUUGUCCCGGACCUGCUGUUUUAGACUCUCUCUCUCUCUACCGCACCUGCUGUCUGUAAACUCUGAAUGAUCGGCUAUGAAAAGCAAACUGACAUUUACUCCUGAGGUGCUGACCUGUUGCACCCUCUACAACUACUGUGAUUAUUAUUAUUUGACCCUGCUGGUCAUCUAUGAAAGUUUGAACAUCUUGGCCAUGUUCUGUUAUAAUCUCUACCCGGCACAGCCAGAAGAGGACUGGCCACCCCUCAUAGCCUGGUUCCUCUCUAGGUUUCUUCCUAGGUUCUGGCCUUUCUGGGGAGUUUUUCCUAGCCAAUGUGCUUCUACAUCUGCAUUGCUUGCUGUUUUAGGUUAGGUGUCUGUACAGCACUUUGUGACAUUGGCUGAUGUAAAAAGGCCUUUAUAAAUAAAUUUGAUUGAUAGAAAAAAACGGUAACUGUAUCCAUUAAAUUACCAUCAUA